AUUGCAAGUGACGAUAAAAAGACAGGGACAUCAGAACUCCAAUUUUUGCAGUAGUAAUGACCAAGUCUAUAAUGGGAAUCUCUCUGAUGCAAU